rnacentral:rRNA from 1 species
GACGAACGCUGGCGGCGUGCUUAACACAUGCAAGUCGAACGGUGAAGCUCCAGCUUGCUGGAGUGGAUCAGUGGCGGACGGGUGAGUAACACGUGAGCAACCUGCCCCUGACUCUGGAAUAAGCGCUGGAAACGGCGUCUAAUACUGGAUACGAGAAGGGUCCGCAUGGGCACUUUCUGGAAAGUUUUUCGGUUGGGGAUGGGCUCGCGGCCUAUCAGCUUGUUGGUGAGGUAAUGGCUCACCAAGGCGACGACGGGUAGCCGGCCUGAGAGGGCGACCGGCCACACUGGGACUGAGACACGGCCCAGACUCCUACGGGAGGCAGCAGUGGGGAAUAUUGCACAAUGGGCGAAAGCCUGAUGCAGCGACGCCGCGUGAGGGAUGACGGCCUUCGGGUUGUAAACCUCUUUCAGCAGGGAAGAAGCGAAAGUGACGGUACCUGCAGAAGAAGCACCGGCUAACUACGUG